rnacentral:rRNA from 1 species
CCUACGGGUGGCAGCAGUGGGGAAUAUUGCGCCAUGGGCGAAAGCCUGACGCCGCGCCGCCGCGUGAGGGAUGAAGGUCUUCGGAUCGUAAACCUCUGUCAGCAGGGAAGAACGGUCCCUGUGCUACUCAGCCUUGACUUGACGGUACCUGCAAAGGCAGCACCGUCUAACUCCGUGCCAGCAGCCGCGGUAAUACGGAGGGUGCGAGCGUUAAUCGGAAUUACUGGGCGUAAAGCGCUCGUAGGCGGUAUGUCAAGUCAAGGGUGAAAUCCCCGCGCUCAACGUGGGAACUGCCUUUGAAACUGGCAAACUGGAGUGUGUGAGAGGAUAGUGGAAGUCCAGGUGUAGGAGUGAAAUCCGUAGAUAUCUGGAGGAACAUCAGUGGCGAAGGCGACUAGCUGGAACAUAACUGACGCUGAGGAGCGAAAGCGUGGGUAGCAAACAGGAUUAGAUACCCUUGUAGGC